ensembl:snoRNA SNORD14 Small nucleolar RNA SNORD14
UCGCUAUGAUGAAGUUACUACAUCCAUUCGCAGUUUCCACCAGAGGUCUUAACGGACUAAAGAUGGCAUUGACCUUCCCUGGAUGUCUGAGCGA